rnacentral:lncRNA from 1 species
GUCAUCCCAUGUGAUGUCAACCUUUUAUAAUAAACCCACUCCCACAAUAACAGUAGCAGUCCAUUAAUGAGGCAGAAUCUUCAUGGCCUAAUCACCUCUUAAUUUUACUAUAAUGGGAUUUAACUUUGUAACACAUACUUUUUUGGGAGAUACAUUCAAACUACCCUAGUUAUUUAAUAUCAAGCAAUAAAGAAUGAUGACCUUUGAAAUAUGGGAAACAAAUGAAGUGAGCCCUUUAACUUCUCAGCUUACUACCCUGAGAGUUAUGACUGGAAAACUGAAUUUCCAGCCUAAUGAACUGCCUAAGUUGAGGACAUGGAGUACAGAACAGAAGGGUUUUCCAUUAGUAGUAAGGAACUAUUAGCUCAAGACUAGAUGUGGAUAGUACGCAGAAUAAUGGCCCUUCAAAGAUAUUUUUGUGUUAACUCCCAGAAUCUACAGUUAUGUUAGCUUAUAUGACAAAAGGUAACUAAGAUUGUAAAUGGAAUUAAGGUCAACUGACCUUGAAAUGGGGAGUUUGCCCUGGAUUAUUUAGUUGGACCUAACUAUAAGUGGAAAAAGCUUUGAGUGAUGUGAUAUGAAAAGAACUUGACUUGUUUACUGGCUUUGAAGUUGGAAAAUAAGGGCCAUGAACCAAGCCAUGUAGGUGGCCCCUGGGAGCUAGAAAUUAAGGAAAUGGAUUUUCUCUUUGAGCCUCCAGGAAAGAGGGGCUUUAAUUUAACCCAGGGAGACCCAUUUUGGAGUUAGGAACCAAAGCAACAUAGGAUGAUUUGUGUUAUUUUAAGC